rnacentral:rRNA from 1 species
AGAGUUGAUCCUGGCUAGGAUGAACGCUAGCGAUAGGCCUAACACAUGCAAGUCGAGGGGCAUCACAUGAGGUAGCAAUACCGAUGGUGGCGACCGGCGCACGGGUGAGUAACACGUAUGCAACCUGCCUUCAACAAGGGCAUAACCCGUUGAAAGACGGACUAAUUCCCUAUGACACAGGGGUCCCGCAUGGGGAUAUUUGUUAAAGAUUAAUCGGUUGGAGAUGGGCAUGCGUUCCAUUAGCUUGUUGGCGGGGUAACGGCCCACCAAGGCAACGAUGGAUAGGGGAACUGAGAGGUUUAUCCCCCACACUGGUACUGAGACACGGACCAGACUCCUACGGGAGGCAGCAGUGAGGAAUAUUGGUCAAUGGGCGCAAGCCUGAACCAGCCACGUCCGCGUGAAGGAAGACGGCCCUACGGGUUGUAAACUUCUUUGCAAGGGAAUAAAGUUGGCCACGCGUGGCCUUUUGCAUGUACCUUGCGAAUAAGGAUCGGCUAACUCCGUGCCAGCCGCCGC